GACGAACGCUGGCGGCGUGCUUAACACAUGCAAGUCGAACGGAAAGGCCCUGCUUUUGUGGGGUGCUCGAGUGGCGAACGGGUGAGUAACCCGUGAGUAACCUGCCCUUGACUUUGGGAUAACUUCAGGAAACUGGGGCUAAUACCGGAUAGGAGCUCCUGCUGCAUGGUGGGGGUUGGAAAGUUUCGGCGGUUGGGGAUGGACUCGCGGCUUAUCAGCUUGUUGGUGGGGUAGUGGCUUACCAAGGCUUUGACGGGUAGCCGGCCUGAGAGGGUGACCGGCCACAUUGGGACUGAGAUACGGCCCAGACUCCUACGGGAGGCAGCAGUGGGGAAUAUUGCACAAUGGGCGGAAGCCUGAUGCAGCAACGCCGCGUGCGGGAUGACGGCCUGCGGGUUGUAAACCGCUUUCGCCUGUGACGAAGCGUGAGUGACGGUAAUGGGUAAAGAAGCACCGGCUAACUACGUG
rnacentral:rRNA from 1 species